rnacentral:lncRNA from 1 species
AUAAGGUUUUGCAUUCAUUGAUGGACUAUAUAGUUGCCUUAGGGCCUUAGGAUGACUAUGAACCUUUGAUUAGAUCCAACAUGAGCCUAGUGUUGAAUCUCGGUCUAGGGAUGGUGAUUGAUUUUAGUUACGCGUUUAAUCAUAUUAAGGCGUGUUUUUCCUAUUGGGCGUUGGACCCAACUACUCCAAUUUCAUGCAUAUCAAAUGAAACAAGAAAGGAGUACUUCAAAGUAGAGAAGAGCUUAUGCUCUUUUACAACAUUUGAUCAAAACAAAUUACUUUAAAGUAAAGAAGAGCUUACGCUCUUUUACAACAUUUGAUCAUAUCAAAUUACAACCAAAAUCUAAUCUACACAUUCCCAUGGUUCAAACAAAUUUGAGAUGGCCUUUCACAUAGCUCAAUUAUCGUAGGCUUAGGUUCAUAAUCACCCUUUCUUUAAUUAAUUAACGCUUUAACU